rnacentral:rRNA from 1 species
GACAGAGGAUGCAAGCGUUAUCCGGAAUGAUUGGGCGUAAAGCGUCUGUAGGUGGCUUUUUAAGUCCGCCGUCAAAUCCCCAGGGCUCAACCCUGGACAGGCGGUGGAAACUACCAAGCUGGAGUACGGUAGGGGGCAGAGGGAAUUUCCAGUGGAGCGGUGAAAUGUGUAGAUAUUGGAAAGACCACCGAUGGCGAAGGCACUCUACUGGGCCAUGACUGACACUGGAGAGACGAAAGCUAGGGGAGCAAAUGGG